UACGAAGGGUGCAAGCGUUAAUCGGAAUUACUGGGCGUAAAGCGCGCGUAGGUGGUUCAGUAAGUUGGAAGUGAAAUCCCCGGGCUCAACCUGGGAACUGCAUCCAAAACUGCUGAGCUAGAGUACGGUAGAGGGUGGUGGAAUUUCCUGUGUAGCGGUGAAAUGCGUAGAUAUAGGAAGGAACACCAGUGGCGAAGGCGACCACCUGGACUGAUACUGACACUGAGGUGCGAAAGCAUGGGGAGCAAACAGG
rnacentral:rRNA from 1 species